rnacentral:rRNA from 1 species
UACGUAGGGUGCAGGCGUUAAUCGGAAUUACUGGGCGUAAAGCGUGCGCAGGCGGUUUGCUAAGACAGGUGUGAAAUCCCCGGGCUUAACCUGGGAACUGCGCUUGUAACUGGCAAGCUAGAGUGUGGCAGAGGGGGGUGGAAUUCCACGUGUAAGCAGUGAAAUGCGUAGAGAUGUGGAGGAACACCGAUGGCGAAGGCAGCCCCCUGGGCUAACACUGACGCUCAUGCACGAAAGCGUGGGGAGAAA